AACGCGAUUGAGGUUUCGGCCUCAGUUGAGUGGCGAACGGGUGAGGUAACACGUGGGUGACCUACCUUCGAAUCGGGGGAUAACGUCCCGAAAGGGGACGCUAAUACCGCAUAAUAUCCCUGCUCUUUGAAUGGGCGGAGAUCAAAGCUGGGGAUCGUAAGACCUGGCGUUUGAAGAGGGACCUGCGCCCGAUUAGCUAGUUGGUGGGGUAACGGCUCACCAAGGCGACGAUCGGGUAGCCGGCCUGAGAGGGCGGACCGGCCACACUGGGACUGAGACACGGCCCAGACUCC
rnacentral:rRNA from 1 species